rnacentral:rRNA from 1 species
GAUGAACGCUGGCGGCGUGCCUAAUACAUGCAAGUCGAGCGAACGGACGAGGAGCUUGCUCCUCUGACGUUAGCGGCGGACGGGUGAGUAACACGUGGAUAACCUACCUAUAAGACUGGGAUAACUUCGGGAAACCGGAGCUAAUACCGGAUAAUAUAUUGAACCGCAUGGUUCAAUAGUGAAAGACGGUUUUGCUGUCACUUAUAGAUGGAUCCGCGCCGCAUUAGCUAGUUGGUAAGGUAACGGCUUACCAAGGCGACGAUGCAUAGCCGACCUGAGAGGGUGAUCGGCCACACUGGAACUGAGACACGGUCCAGACUCCUACGGGAGGCAGCAGUAGGGAAUCUUCCGCAAUGGGCGAAAGCCUGACGGAGCAACGCCGCGUGAGUGAUGAAGGUCUUCGGAUCGUAAAACUCUGUUAUUAGGGAAGAACAAAUGUGUAAGUAACUAUGCACGUCUUGACGGUACCUAAUCAGAAAGCCACGGCUAACUACGUG